GGGACGGUACAAAGGGCUGCGAACCCGCGAGGGGGAGCGAAUCCCAAAAGACCGCUCUCAGUUCGGAUUGCAGGCUGCAACUCGCCUGCAUGAAGCCGGAAUCGCUAGUAAUCGCGGAUCAGCAUGCCGCGGUGAAUACGUUCCCGGGUCCUU
rnacentral:rRNA from 1 species